rnacentral:rRNA from 1 species
CCCUUAGAUGUUCUGGGCCGCACGCGCGCUACACUGACGAAUGCAACGAGCUUAUAACCUUGGCCGAAAGGUCUGGGUAAUCUCCAAAUUUCGUCGUGAUGGGGAUAGAUUAUUGCAAUUAUUAAUCUUCAACGAGGAAUGCCUAGUAAGCGCAAGUCAUCAGCUUGCGUUGAUUACGUCCCUGCCCUUUGUACACACCGCCCGUCGCUCCUACCGAUUGAAUGGUCCGGUGAAGCGUUCGGACCGUGGCCUUUGGACGGUUCGCCGUCUGUUGGCUGCGGGAAGUUCGUUACACCUUCUCAUUUAGAGGAAGGAGAAGUCGUAACA